rnacentral:rRNA from 1 species
GCAAAACGCGAAGAACCUUACCCACCUUUGACAUGUACGGAAUCCUUUAGAGAUAGAGGAGUGCUCGAAAGAGAGCCGUAACACAGGUGCUGCAUGGCUGUCGUCAGCUCGUGUCGUGAGAUGUUGGGUUAAGUCCCGCAACGAGCGCAACCCUUGCCAUUAGUUGCUACAUUUGGUUGAGCACUCUAAUGGGACUGCCGGUGACAAACCGGAGGAAGGUGGGGAUGACGUCAAGUCCUCAUGGCCCUUAUAGGUGGGGCUACACACGUCAUACAAUGGCUGGUACAAAGGGUUGCCAACCCGCGAGGGGGAGCUAAUCCCAUAAAGCCAGUCGUAGUCCGGAUCGCAGUCUGCAACUCGACUGCGUGAAGUCGGAAUCGCUAGUAAUCGUGGAUCAGAAUGUCACGGUGAAUACGUUCCCGGGUCUUGUACACACCG